rnacentral:rRNA from 1 species
AACGAACGCUGGCGGCGUGCUUAACACAUGCAAGUCGAACGCGAAAGGGACUUCGGUCCUGAGUAAAGUGGCGCACGGGUGAGUAACGCGUAGAUAACCUGUCUUCAUGGUCUGGAAUAAUACGCCGAAAGGGGUACUAAUACCGGAUAUUCUUGCUUUUCAUAAGUUAUGCAAGCAAAGGUGGCCUCUGCAUAUGCUACUGCAUGAAGAGGGGUCUGCGUACCAUUAGCUAGUAGGUGGGGUAAUGGCCUACCUAGGCGACGAUGGUUAGCGGGUCUGAGAGGAUGAUCCGCCACACUGGCACUGGAACACGGGCCAGACUCCUACGGGAGGCAGCAGUGAGGAAUAUUGCGCAAGUGGGGAAACCCUGACGCAGCGACGCCGCGUGAGUGAAGGAAGGCCUUCGGGUCGUAAAGCUCUGUCAAGAGGAAAGAAGUGUACAAUGGCUAAUACCUGUUGUAUUUGACGGUACCUCUAAAGGAAGCACCGGCUAACUCCGUGCCAGCAGCCGC